rnacentral:misc_RNA from 1 species
AACGCACCUUGCGCCCUUUGGCUAUUCCGAAGGGCAUGCCUGUUUGAGUAUCAUGAACACCUCAACCCUCACGGUUCCUCGUGAUGGGCUUGGACUUGGGGGCUUUGUUGGCCUGUGGUCAGCUCUCCUCAAAUAAAUCAGCUCGCCAGUGUCUGGCGGCAUCAUGGGUGUGAUAACCAUCUACGCUUGUGAUCGCCUGCGAGGUAAACCUCUGGUCUGCAGAGGUUCGCUGGAGCUUAUAGAUGUCUCUCCUCCGUGAAGACAGCUGUCUGAAGUUCGAUCUCAAAUCAGGUAGGACUACCCGCUGAACUUAA